CGAAAUUCUGGGCGAAUUCCUCCAUUGGGAGAUGCUUUUGUUCGCCUAAUUUUCAUAGCUUCAGGGGAAUUAGGUAGUAUACCAACAAUUGGGGUUUGUGUCGUGAUCCUUUGUGUUGUCUCCUCUUCUGCGUGUUUGACAACAAUCUUGCACACUGCCCAUAGUCCUAACAUAUUGGAAAGAAUACAAUGGCCCCUUGUAAGGAGUGGAUGAAACUUUCUCGAGAUGAUCGUUUGAAUGUUGCAUAUGAAAUAGGCGUUGGAAACUUUUUAAAAUAUGCAUCUGAAAAGUCGGGAGGA